UUUUGCUUGCUAAAGUCUUCACAUUAGGGUUCGUUGAAUGAAAUUUGGUGUUGGGUAGUGAGUAAAUUGCUCGUAUGAAGUGUUUUCGUAUUUCAAAACAACCAUUACUUCUUAAUUUCCAGUGGUCGGUUUCCUUUCCAGGAUAUAUUCAAUCAAAUCCUUGGCCUGCACUUUCGGGUGUCAUAGUUUCAGUAGAUAUUCUAAGUUUACAAUGACAUAGGAUUUUGGCAUGCAAUUUUUCACCAUGGCAUGAUAUUCUUAGAUAUACGGGCAUAAAACCACCAGAACAGGUUGAGAUCCUGCCUUAAACUUAAGCAACGUUUUAAGCAAGUAUAUUGAGCGGUACAGAGUGCGCCACAGCAGAUCUUAAUCUUACUCUGCCACUGUAGGGGGAUUGUAUGUUUUGAACCUUUUUUUGUCUUCAAGUUGGUGCUCGACCUUUACUCCACAUUUAAUCCAAAUUAGGUAUUGUUUAGUUUCUUUUUUCCUUGGCUCUAGUUAAGUACACCUUACACAUAACUGAUGUUGGUCUAACUUCAAGGCCCAAAAUCUUCUUUAUGGUAUUACUAUAAAAGAAACCAAUUUUGGCUCCCUGAUCUUCUCCUUGGCAUGAAUAAAUAUAGAAAAUGCUACUCUGAUGUAAGUAUCUUUGGAUUUUGUUGGACUUUGUUUGUGCUCGUCCAAUUCUUGUUAUUGUGGUGGGUGAACAAAGUAUGGAUCUUUCAUUUCUCUGGAACUUUAAUUUACUGACAUUGCAGUAAUGUGCCAAAUUUUCUGUCGAUUCUCUUUUUGUGGUGCAUAUUUUGAGGUGGUUAUGUAGUCCAGUUUCGUUUGAUAUUGCAUUUUAUCACAGCUUGCUUGAAGUGAAUGCACUUUUUAUAAUAUUUUCAUUUUGGAGUUUCUCACUGCGAGAGUUGUUGCUUGCAAUUAAUUCUGCAUUGUUUUGAGGAAGUUGAUAUAUCUCGAACGGAAAAUGCUCAUGGUUUGCUCAUUGAAUUUGUUUCAGACUGUUCAUGAAGGGCGCAUAUAUCAACUAAAACUGUUCUAUGACAAAGAUUAUCCAGAGAAGCCACCAAGUGUACAAUUUCAUACACGCAUCAAGAUGACUUGUGUCAAUCAUGAAACUGGAGUGGUAAUGUUGUCUCAUAACCUGCAUUUUAGGAUGUUAUUCAACUGCUUGGUUUUGACAAUUAUUGGCUUUGCUCCUGGUUUUAAUUUAUGUUCCCUGUUUUCAUAAUUGUUGGCUGAUCGAGGACUGCAUGGCAUGUGUUGAUCUUCUUGAAGUCAUGCUGGUGGAACAUUUGCAGAGGAAUAUUGUGCAGCAAUGUGAAUAUUCAAAUGUUAAAGCUACUGAACUGAUUCUCCCACAGUUUGUGUUUUGAAAGAUCACCUGCCUUCCAAAGUGGGGUUUGCAUUAAGAGAUGUAGAUGCAAGUCUUUUUCUUUUUUCUUUUUCUGCAACUUCUUGCGUGUAGCAACUCAUGUGUAGUGUGGCUUUUGAUGUGGGAAUAUUGCAUGCUGCCUCUUGAAAUAAGUUGUUGUUUUUUGUUUGUGGUUGUAGAUUAUUCAAUUGCAGAGAAGUUAAUUUAUUCUCUCAAGUCAAUUUUUUAAAGGUUUCCUU